rnacentral:lncRNA from 1 species
CGCCAUCCCUAGUGGCCUCUACACAGAACAGGAAGUGUCUUCAGAGGUCACCCCUUUGUGCUUUGCCAUCCAAGCUACAAAGACUCUCCUCCUCAGAACAUUGUGCUGGCAGGAAUUCAGCAUCAUGGAAAAGAAUAAAGGAUGGGCCCUUCUGGAAGGAAAAGAUUGCCAUCUUCAGGGAGUAUCUCUCCUUGCCAAGUAAGCCUUCCUUGCUGUGCACUGCUCUAAAUCAGUAUUGUUUUAUUUUUUACCCCCCUU